rnacentral:lncRNA from 1 species
AUUUUAUACUUUCCAAUGUUUAAAUUUUCUUCCCACUGAUAAAUUCAAGCUGUGCUUACAAGCUCUUUGAAUAAAUUUACAAUUAUUAAGAAACUGAUAUUUAAAAUACACAGGAAAGGUUAUUGCAGCUCUUAUACAUCCUCGGCUUUCAAUUGUUUGGUUUGAAAUGCACCUAAUGAAGGUAUUUCCAGAAAAGUGCUUAGGAUGCAUGGAAUUUAUAUCUUCUGUUUUCAUUUACAGAUUUUUCGAAAGGCUCUGUGUUGAAGACUGUACUUUGAUUUAUAAUGGUUUACGUUUACAAAUUUUGACUUGGAUGGAGAGUUGUCUCAUUGGCACUCAUACAGCAUCUUCUUAUAUCUAUAUAUGAUUUGAAGGAAAAUAUUGAUAGUGUGAGCAUACAUAAAAUACAGUGCACAUCUAUAGAAUCUUUAGAUUCAGAUUAUCAGGUGUAUUUAUAAUUAUGUAUAAUGCAGACGAAAGUAUAUUUCAGGUACAAACAAUCAGCAGCUCAUUCUAUUUCAUUGAGUAGAUUCCAUUACUGAUUAGUACAGAUAAAUAUUAUGCAUCUAAAUGAUAGGUUGAAUUAAAACAGAAUCACUAAAUGGUAGUUGCCUAUUCCAUGCAUGUAGACAUGCUUACCUAAUUUUAAUUCAUCACCAAUUUUGUUAUCAGUAUUCCUCAAAGAAAAAGUGAGCCCUGUACAGGUCAUUCUUGAAAAAAGAGUUUAGUCACUUGAUGGUUUGUUUUUUAUGAUCACUCACUUAGUUUUUAGCUCACCUGACUUAAAGGGCCAUGUCAGUUUUUGCAAUCACUUGGCAUCCAUUGUUGUUCUUGUUCUCCUUAUCUUUAAACUUUUUCAAAGAUCUGUAAAAACUAUUGAACCAAUUUCAACCAAACUUAUUCCAGUCAGUCAGCAAACAUGGUCACAUUGCUAGAAACAAAAGCAUUGGGAUAAAAUGCAGUAAUGGCUUAUAUCUUAAAAAUACAAAAGUUAGAGCAAAACUGAAGAGAAAAAAAAUGAUCUGCAGGUCCACUAUAAAAGAGGGACGAAUUAUACCAGAGGGACAGUCAAACUCAUAAAUCGGAAAAUAAACUGACAACGCCAUGGCUAAAAAUGAAAAGGACAAACAGACAAACAACUAACUGUUUAGCAACAUCCAACAAUAGGACACAUGACACAACAUAGAAAACUAAAGAAUAAACAACACGAACCCCACCAAAAACUAGGGGUGAUCUCAAGUGCUCCGGAAGGGUAAGCAGAUCCUGUUCCACAUGUGGCACCCGUCGUGUUGAUUAUGUUACAACAAAUCUGGUAAAUAGUCUAAUUCGGUAGGUCACAUUCAUGAAAGGGAAGGGGAUUGUAGUUACGACGUUAGGCACAUAUCAGAUAUUCUUCUAAUUACAAAACGGUACUGAUUGUGUUCACUCACUCAUUAUCUUUGAGAAUAUAUACUGUGUUUGUUGUCUCCCUUCUAUAUAGUUUCAGUUUUAUAAUAUUGUCAUGUAUUGUAAUUUCAAUGAAAAAAAUCACCACAAUUAUUUGUACACUUUAAUUCAAACUGUAAUUGUACUGCUCCUCGGGGCGUCUUGAUUGACAAAUAAAAAAUUGUUGUUGUUCUUGUUGUCUUUUUUAUAUUAAUUGAUCCUAGUCAAUUAAAUUCUUUAGACCGAUUGUCAGAUAUCCUGCCGAAUGCCAAUGGUUCUCUGGACACUCCGGCAUCCUCCAAGAGCCAUAAACUGGCAGCCACGAUAUAGCCAAGCGCG